AAUCCAUAGGUUAAUGAGGCGAACCGGGGGAACUGAAACAUCUAAGUACCCCGAGGAAAAGAAAUCAACCGAGAUUCCCCCAGUAGCGGCGAGCGAACGGGGAGGAGCCCAGAGCCUGAAUCAGCAUGUGUGUUAGUGGAAGCGUCUGGAAAGGCGCGCGAUACAGGGUGACAGCCCCGUACACAAAAGCGCAUGUGCUGUGAGCUCGAUGAGUAGGGCGGGACACGUGGUAUCCUGUCUGAAUAUGGGGGGACCAUCCUCCAAGGCUAAAUACUCCUGACUGACCGAUAGUGAACCAGUACCGUGAGGGAAAGGCGAAAAGAACCCCGGCGAGGGGAGUGAAAAAGAACCUGAAACCGUGUACGUACAAGCAGUGGGAGCACCCUUUGGGGUGUGACUGCGUACCUUUUGUAUAAUGGGUCAGCGACUUAUAUUCUGUAGCAAGGUUAACCGAAUAGGGGAGCCGGAGGGAAACCGAGUCUUAAUUGGGCGUUAAGUUGCAGGGUAUAGACCCGAAACCCGGUGAUCUAGCCAUGGGCAGGUUGAAGGUUGGGUAACACUAACUGGAGGACCGAACCGACUAAUGUUGAAAAAUUAGCGGAUGACCUGUGGCUGGGGGUGAAAGGCCAAUCAAACCGGGAGAUAGCUGGUUCUCCCCGAAAGCUAUUUAGGUAGCGCCUCGUGAAUUCAUCUCCGGGGGUAGAGCACUGUUUCGGCUAGGGGGCCAUCCCGGCUUACCAACCCGAUGCAAACUGCGAAUACCGGAGAAUGUUAUCACGGGAGACACACGGCGGGUGCUAACGUCCGUCGUGAAGAGGGAAACAACCCAGACCGCCAGCUAAGGUCCCAAAGUCAUGGUUAAGUGGGAAACGAUGUGGGAAGGCCCAGACAGCCAGGAUGUUGGCUUAGAAGCAGCCAUCAUUUAAAGAAAGCGUAAUAGCUCACUGGUCGAGUCGGCCUGCGCGGAAGAUGUAACGGGGCUAAACCAUGCACCGAAGCUGCGGCAGCGACGUUUAUGCGUUGUUGGGUAGGGGAGCGUUC
rnacentral:rRNA from 1 species